CGUAUAUACUUCCAAACAAUAACUUAGGUUUUGUACUACAUGGUAAAUGAAAUGAAAUUUUUAAUAUGCUAGAGCGCACAAUGGUAAUUGCUAGUUUCAUUAGUAUUUCUCGGCAAACCCUCGUUCUUUCUUGGUCUGCUAAAAAUAAUUGUUAUCAGUUUUUCUUUACAUUGUCUAUAGAGAAAGUGAUGUUUUUAAGAGAUAUUUCUGUAACAUGAGCAAUGGUGCUUACUUCUUAUAUCCCACAUAUUGUUGAAUUAUGUGCUUAUGAGGCAAAACGGUCAUGGCGGUCCUGCACAAGUGGAUGAAUGACUGGAAGGGGCGGCACCACGAUGGUUAAGAUGGUUUAUACCCAGCCUGGGAGGACGACCCCCUACAAUGGGCACGGAAAGAUGUUGCAGUAGCGAACGAGGAGGCAGAGAUGCGCAAAGCAGAGUAGGAAAAACAUGCUCUGGUCCUCCUCCAAGCCCGCCGGCGACUCCCUAACAUGAUUUAACCAGUCACGAGGACUAGGAUGUUGAGGAAGAUGGUGAAUGGGCAGCUCCAACCAUAUGCAAAAGGAACAAUUUCAAAUCCUAAGUGCAAGGACCAUGUACGCAAAAGGCAAUGAUUGAGGAUUCACGGAUAUAUUGAGAUCAACUUUUCGAUGCAAUUUGGAUGAUCAAAU